UACAGAGGGUGCAGGCGUUGUUCGGAAUUAUUGGGCGUAAAGCGCGUGUAGGCGGCUUGGCAAGUCGGGUGUGAAAUCCCUCAGCUUAACUGAGGAAGUGCGCCCGAAACUGCUUUGCUUGAGUGUCGGAGAGGAUGGCGGAAUUCCCCAAGUAGAGGUGAAAUUCGUAGAUAUGGGGAGGAACACCGGUGGCGAAGGCGGCCAUCUGGACGACAACUGACGCUGAGACGCGAAAGCGUGGGGAGCAAACAGG
rnacentral:rRNA from 1 species